rnacentral:rRNA from 1 species
UACGUAGGGGGCAAGCGUUAUCCGGAUUUAUUGGGUUUAAAGGGUGCGCAGGCGGAUUUUUAAGUCAGCGGUCAAAUCGUGGGGCUCAACCCCAUCCAGCCGUUGAAACUGGGGAUCUAGAGUGUGCGAGAGGUAUGCGGAAUGCGUGGUGUAGCGGUGAAAUGCAUAGAUAUCGCGCAGAACCCCGAUUGCGAAGGCAGCAUACCGGCGCUCAACUGACGCUGAGGCACGAAAGUGCGGGUAUCGAACAGG